AAAGGAAUGAGUUUAAGCUCAAAAUAUCCUGCAUAUAUACAUACACAAAAUUAAAAAAAUUUUUUUUUUUGUGUAAUUUUUAAAAACAGGAAGGAAGGUCUGAGAUGCUGCAUUUAAAGAGUACAGAAAAUUUGGAAGAGUUUCUCUUCAUUUUUUCUUUCUUUAAAAAUACUUUUGAGAAAAAAAAUAUUGAAAAAAUAUUAAUUAGCUAACAGAAAAAACAAUCAUAUUUUCCUUACGGAAAAUAUGGUUUUGAAAAAGCUAAUAAGCAAGUAUACAUAGGUGAGUUCGAUUUUUGAGGUUUUUCUAAAUUAUUCUUAAAUUCAUUUAAGAAAAAUUAGAAAAAUAACUUAAUUCAGACUACUCUUAAAUUCAUUCCUACAUUAA